UGGGGGAAACUAAACCAAUAAAAAGAAUGUGAAAAGAGGGAGAGAAUAAAGACAAAAGGGUAAAAAAAUAUCAUAUUAUUAGAAAAGAUGCAUACUAAAAAGUUAUUUAAACGACGGUGUGACCCCAAUAUGUAAUACCUUUUCGGAUGGGUUUAGAUGAUUGGAAUACAAUUGAGAUAAUAGGUUUGGACUAAUCAAAUCUCAACGACAAAAUAAAACAGCACGAACCUCAUCGACUACCACAAGAUUAACAAAUAAAAAUGUAUAAUAUACUUUGUUGACAACAAAUACAAAAAAAAUGUAUUAAUAAGAAAAUUGGAAUAAAAGUGUAGGUAAAGAUUAGUAAAGAAAUUAAAGUGGUGGUUCUCAUGUCAUUAGCACUUGGGCACCAUCCAUCAUGCGAUCCUUCACAGACUUAUCCACAGAUGUGAAAGAAAGAAACAAAGACCAAUUACGAAACUCGAAAACAGUACAAUUGUUUGUUAGGUUCGACACGUGUCAGUCCGACAUGUGGGUCCCUUCAAUGAUUUGUUGUAUAAUGAAGAAUCUACUUCCGAUUCAGCCCCCGCAUUACGGCCGUAAAUUUUUUUUUGUUUAUUUAGUUUAGGGAAAAAGUGAAGAAGCAUACGUGAUA
rnacentral:lncRNA from 1 species